UAUGUACAUACCAGAAGGAAUAGCUGCAC
rnacentral:piRNA from 1 species